AUUUAUUUAGUAUAUUAUGUACAUUUGACUUCCAAUCAAAAAGAUUGAAUUCUUCAAAAUAAAUA
rnacentral:tRNA from 1 species